rnacentral:rRNA from 1 species
CUACGGGCGGCUGCAGUGGGGAAUAUUGCACAAUGGGCGCAAGCCUGAUGCAGCCAUGCCGCGUGUGUGAAGAAGGCCUUCGGGUUGUAAAGCACUUUCAGCGGGGAGGAAGGCGGUGAGGUUAAUAACCUCAUCGAUUGACGUUACCCGCAGAAGAAGCACCGGCUAACUCCGUGCCAGCAGCCGCGGUAAUACGGAGGGUGCAAGCGUUAAUCGGAAUUACUGGGCGUAAAGCGCACGCAGGCGGGCUGUCAAGUCGGAUGUGAAAUCCCCGGGCUCAACCUGGGAACUGCAUUCGAAACUGGCAGGCUAGAGUCUUGUAGAGGGGGGUAGAAUUCCAGGUGUAGCGGUGAAAUGCGUAGAGAUCUGGAGGAAUACCGGUGGCGAAGGCGGCCCCCUGGACAAAGACUGACGCUCAGGUGCGAAAGCGUGGGGAGCAAACAGGAUUAGAUACCCGGGUAGUC